CGGCCUGAGGUCGGACGAGGCUACCCGCUGAAUUUAAGCAUAUUACUAAGCGGAGGAAAAGAAACUAACGAGGAUUCCCUCAGUAACGGCGAGUGAAGCGGGACGAGCCCAGCGCCGAAUCCGGCCGCUUAUGGAGCGGACGGAAUUGUGGCGUAUGGAAUUCGCUUCGAGCGCGGACCGGCUGCCCACGUCCUUCUGAUCGAGGCUUCAUCCCAUAGCGGGUGUCAGGCCUUGGCGGCGGCUGGCCCGGGCUCUCGGUGUCUUCCCGGAGUCGGGUUGUUUGGGA
rfam:Ciona savignyi cont_28025, whole genome shotgun sequence.